rnacentral:rRNA from 1 species
CCUACGGGCGGCAGCAGUGGGGAAUAUUGCACAAUGGGGGAAACCCUGAUGCAGCGACGCCGCGUGAGUGAAGAAGUAUCCCGGUACGUAAAGCUUCAUCAGCAGGGAAGAAAAUGACGGUACCUGACUAAGAAGCCCCGGCUAACUACGUGCCAGCAGCCGCGGUAAUACGGAGGGGGCAAGCGUUAUCCGGAUGUACUGGGUGUAAAGGGAGCGUAGUCGGCAGUGCAAGUCUGGAGUGAAAGGGGGGGGCUCAACCCCCGGACUGCUCUGGAAACUGUACGCCUGGAGUGCGGGUGAGGUAAGUGGAAUUCCUAGUGUAGCGGUGAAAUGCUUAGAUAUGAGGAGGAACACCAGUGGCGAAGGCGGCUUACUGGACUGUAACUGACGUUGAGGCUCGAAAGCGUGGGGAGCAAACAGGAUUAGAUACCCCAGUAGUC